UCGCUGUGUGUUAUAUGUGUCACAUGGGACGUGCCGGCCUUAAGCCGGAGGAAGGUGGGGAGUGAUGUCAAGUCAGCAUGGCCUUUAUGUCCUGGGCUACACACACGCUACAAUGGUCAGCACAAUGGGUCGCUAAGCCGCAAGGUGGAGCCAAUCCUCAAAGUUGGCCUCAGUUCAGAUUGUAGGCUGCAACUCGCCUGCAUGAAGAUGGAGUUGCUAGUAAACGCAGGUCAGCUAUACUGCGUUGAAUACGUUCCCGGGCCUU
rnacentral:rRNA from 1 species